rnacentral:rRNA from 1 species
UACGUAGGGGCCGAGCGUUGUCCGGAGUUACUGGGCGUAAAGCGCGCGCAGGCGGCCACUUAAGCCCGGCGUGAAAGCCCCCGGCUCAACCGGGGAGGGUCGUCGGGGACUGGGUGGCUUGAGGACGGCAGGGGCUGGUGGAAUCCCCGGUGUAGUGGUGAAAUGCGUAGAGAUCAUGAGGAAGACCAGUGGCGAAGGCGGGUCUCUGGACAGUUCCUGACACUGAGGCACGAAGGCCAGGGGAGCAAACGGG